UCUCAUAUACAUUAUCAUUAUGCAGACCGGUCUGUUGUUUCUUGCGUUGUUCUCGUGCUUUUCUCUUAUCGAGGGAAAGUCAUUCGAAGGUCAAACGUGUGUUGGAAUUCGGAGAGAAGAUUCAUCCUAUACCUACCCGACGCUGUGGCCGUGAACGUGCAAGACCGCAACUGUGAUGCAGAGUGGACCAUUGAUGCAAAUAUCAAAACCAGUUCCCAUCUCAAUUCACAGCUAUCCUGGAUGGAAAUGUAGCACACUUUUCUCAUCCCUUCAAAAAAGUAACCCGUAAUGGAAUCAGUGUGUCUUACUGUCCAUUUUCAGUCAGAUUCCAUGCCUCUUGUCCUAAUUACACCAAUGACUUCACAUGUUCUUGCACCAAUUCCACCAACAUCUAUCCAGUGUUUAGUACAACUCUGCCAUCUGGAGAUUUAUCUUCCUCUGCCAUCAAAACUAAUUCAUCAGUGAGACAACACUAUGGUUCCGUUGCUGUUGCUGCCACUUUUGUCAUAACCCUUGUCAUUUUGGCUUUCCUCUCUGUAGGCACAGCAAAAUAUGCUCCUGAGGACCAAAACCAGCCUGGUUCAGUAGAAUGAGCCUGAGGAGGCAACUGUAAUUGCCCUAGAAACAAGAACACAUGGCGUGGAGUCAUAACAACACAUUAUCCUAUGUAACACAUAUUAUAUUAUAUUAUAUUAUAUUAUAUUAUAUU